rnacentral:rRNA from 1 species
GCGGAUGCCUUGGCUCUCGGAGGCGAUGAAGGACGUGAUAAGCUGCGAUAAGCUUCGGGCAGGUGCAAAUAACCUUUGAUCCGAAGAUUUCCGAAUGGGACAACCCGUCAUUCUGAAGGAAUGACAUCUUGCAUAGCAAGAGGCUAACGCAGGGAACUGAAACAUCUUAGUACCUGUAGGAAAAGAAAAUAAUAAUGAUUCCCCUAGUAGUGGCGAGCGAACGGGGAUUAGCCCAAACCAAUGUUGUUACGGCAAUAUUGGGGUUGUAGGACCACGAUGUCGCAAGAAAUUUAGUGAGAAGAACCCUUUGGAAAAUGGGACCAUAGACGGUGAUAGUCCGGUAUUCGAAGCUAAAUGAAGCGUAGUGGUAUCCUGAGUAGCGCGGGACACGAGGAAUCUUGCGUGAAUCUGCCGGGACCAUCCGGUAAGGCUAAAUACUCCCGAGAGACCGAUAGCGAACCAGUACUGUGAAGGAAAGGUGAAAAGCACUUCGAAUAGAAGAGUGAAAUAGUCCCUGAAACCGUGCGCCUACAAGCGGUCGGAGCUGCUUCAGCAGUGACGGCGUGCCUUUUGCAUAAUGAACCUACGAGUUACUUUUUCCGGCAAGGUUAAGGAUCUUGAGAUCCGCAGCCGAAGCGAAAGCGAGUCUUAACAGGGCGAUUAGUCGGAAGGAGUAGACGCGAAACCAAGUGAUCUACCCUUGGUCAGGUUGAAGGUUAGGUAACACUAACUGGAGGACCGAACCGAUAAGCGUUGAAAAGCUUCCGGAUGAACUGAGGGUGGGGGUGAAAGGCUAAUCAAACUUGGAGAUAGCUCGUACUCCCCGAAAUGCAUUUAGGUGCAGCCUUGCGGGUUACUGAUGUGAGGUAGAGCGACUGAUAAGAUGCGAGGGCUUCACCGCCUAUCAAGUCUUGAUAAACUCCGAAUGCGCAGUAGUUCGAUCCCAGGAGUGAGGGCAUGGGUGCUAAGGUCCAUGUCCUAAAGGAGAAGAAUCCGGACCAUCAGCUAAGGUCCCGAAAUAAUUGCUAAGUUGAACUAACGAAGUCAGAUUGCUAAGACAGCUAGGAUGUUGGCUUGGAAGCAGCCAUUCAUUUAAAGAGUGCGUAACAGCUCACUAGUCGAGGAGUUUGGCGUGGAUAAUAAUCGGGCAUUAAGCAAUUUACCGAAGCUAUGGGAUCAGUAAUGAUCGGUAGGGGAGCAUUCCACUCUGCGUCGAAGGUGAAGCGUGAGCUUUGCUGGAGCGUGUGGAAAAGCAAAUGUAGGUAUAAGUAACGAUAAAGGGGGUGAGAAACCCCCUCGCCGAAAGACUAAGGUUUCCUGAUCAACGCUAAUCGGAUCAGGGUUAGUCGGGUCCUAAGGCUCAGCCGAACGGUGAGGCCGAUGGCAGAACAGGUUAAUAUUCCUGUACUACCUUAAGGAGUGACGUGGAGACGGAGCAGUGACAGCGCCGCGGACUGACGGAAUAGUCCGUUGAAGGGUGUAGAUGUUGAUCUUUGCAGGCAAAUCCACAAAGAGAGUCGAACCUGAUAGUAUGGAGCGUUCUUCGGAACAAUCCAAUAGUGCGUGUAAACAUACUCCCAAGAAAAUCCGCUAAACUUAAUCUUUAAGGUACCCGUACCGCAAACGGACACACGUAGUCGGGUUGAAUAUACUAAGGCGCUUGAGUGAUUCACGGUUAAGGAACUAGGCAAAUUGACCCUGUAACUUCGGGAUAAAGGGUCCCAACGAGAGUUGGGCGCAGAGAAUAGGUCCAGGCAACUGUUUAACAAAAACACAGGGCUGUGCCAAAUUGAAAGAUUACGUAUACAGCCUGACACCUGCCCGGUGCUGGAAGGUUAAGAGGAGAUGUCAUCGCAAGAGAAGCAUUGAAUUGAAGCCCCAGUAAACGGCGGCCGUAACUAUAACGGUCCUAAGGUAGCGAAAUUCCUUGUCGGGUAAGUUCCGACCUGCACGAAUGGUGUAAUGAUCUGGACGCUGUCUCAACCGUGAGCUCAGUGAAAUUGUAGUAUCGGUGAAGAUGCCGAUUACCCGCGAUGGGACGAAAAGACCCCGUGAACCUUUACUAUAGCUUAACAUUGAAUUUGGGUAAUUGAUGUGUAGGAUAGGCCGGAGACUUUGAAUCAGGUACGCCAGUAUUUGUGGAGUCGCUGUUGAAAUACGGCCCUUUGAUUAUUUGAGUUCUAACUCGUGGUACGAGGACACUGUUUGGUGGGUAGUUUGACUGGGGUGGUCGCCUCCAAAAUAGUAACGGAGGCUUCUAAAGGUGCCCUCAGGACGAUUGGUAACCGUCCGCAGAGUGUAAUGGCAUAAGGGCGCUUGACUGGGAGACUUACAAGUCGAUCAGGUAGGAAACUAGAGCAUAGUGAUCCGGUGUUUCCGUAUGGAAGGGACAUCGCUCAAAGGAUAAAAGGUACUCCGGGGAUAACAGGCUGAUC